CUUGACAUCCAGCGAAUUCGGUAGAGAUACCUUAGUGCCUUCGGGAACGCUGAGACAGGUGCUGCAUGGCUGUCGUCAGCUCGUGUUGUGAAAUGUUGGGUUAAGUCCCGCAACGAGCGCAACCCUUAUCCUUUGUUGCCAGCGGUCCGGCCGGGAACUCAAAGGAGACUGCCAGUGAUAAACUGGAGGAAGGUGGGGAUGACGUCAAGUCAUCAUGGCCCUUACGAGUAGGGCUACACACGUGCUACAAUGGCGCAUACAAAGAGAAGCGACCUCGCGAGAGCAAGCGGACCUCAUAAAGUGCGUCGUAGUCCGGAUUGGAGUCUGCAACUCGACUCCAUGAAGUCGGAAUCGCUAGUAAUCGUAGAUCAGAAUGCUACGGUGAAUACGUUCCCGGGCCUUGUACACACCGCCCGUCACACCAUGGGAGUGGGUUGCAAAAGAAGUAGGUAGCUUAACCUUCGGGAGGGCGCUUACCACUUUGCGAUUCAUGACUGGGGUGAAGUCGUAACAAGGUAGGCGUACGUGU
rnacentral:rRNA from 1 species